rnacentral:rRNA from 1 species
AACGCUGGCGGCAUGCUUAACACAUGCAAGUCGUACGAGAAAGUCUUCUUCGGAAGGCGAGUAAAGUGGCGAACGGGUGAGUAACACGUAAGAAUCUACCCUUUGGUCUGGGAUAACAUCGCGAAAGUGGUGCUAAUNACCGGAUAAUAUCCACGGAUCAAAGAGGGCUUUGCCCUCACCAGAGGAGGAGCUUGCGCCCCAUUAGCUAGUUGGUGAGGUAAUGGCUCACCAAGGCUCCGAUGGGUAGCCGGCCUGAGAGGGUGUACGGCCACACUGGAACUGAGACACGGUCCAGACUCCUACGGGAGGCAGCAGUGGGGAAUAUUGGUCAAUGGGCGAAAGCCUGAACCAGCAAUGCCGUGUGGGUGAUGAAGCUUCUAGGAGUGUAAAACCCUUUUAUGAGGGAAGAACGAAAUGCGGUUAAUAUCUGUAUUUCUUGACGGUACCUCAUGAAUAAGCCCCGGCUAACUCCGUGCCAGCAGCCGCGGUAACACGGAGGGGGCAAGCGUUGUUCGGAAUUACUGGGCGUAAAGGGCGUGUAGGCGGCCUAGCAGGCCAGAUGUGAAAUCCCCGGGCUCAACUCGGGAACUGCGUUUGAAACCGUUAGGCUUGAGGCUAGGAGAGGAAAGCGGAAUUCCUGGUGUAGCGGUGAAAUGCGUAGAUCUCAGGAGGAACACCGGUGGCGAAAGCGGCUUUCUGGACUAGUUCUGACGCUGAGGCGCGAAAGCGUGGGGAGCGAACGGGAUUAGAUACCCCGGUAGUCCACGCUGUAAACGAUGAGCACUAGGUGUAGCGGGUAUCGACCCCUGCUGUGCCGCAGCUAACGCAAUAAGUGCUCCGNCUGGGGAUUACGCACGCAAGUGUGAAACUCAAAGGAAUUGACGGGGCCCCGCACAAGCGGUGGAGUAUGGUGGUUAAUUCGAUGCAAC